rnacentral:misc_RNA from 1 species
AUCAAUAUCAUCUUGUAAUCUUUCUGUCCACAUUAUGAUUUCAAAUUAAGAAAGCAUACUUCAUUAAAGAAAACUGAAAUUUUAGCAAAUUAGGAGUCAAUUUCAUCGGAUAAAAAAAUCCAAUAGAUUCCUUGACUUGACCCAAUGGAUUUUGCAGCUAGGAAGUCAGACAAUAGUUCCGACAAUAGAGAUGGGCAGAUUAGCGAUUAGAGAAGGGAUGGGAAGGGUAAGAUGCUAGAGAAAUCUAGAAAACUUGUAGGUCUAGAUUCGGGUCAAGAUCUGACCCAGUCAGAUCUUCUUUUUCUAGAAAGGUGCAAGUGAUAGGAAAGGCACCGGAAGGGUUGCUUGGAUGUUGCUGGUGGAUUGGCUGUGGUGGUGCUUGGGUUUGAUGGUCGGAU